GACGAACGCUGGCGGCGUGCUUAACACAUGCAAGUCGAACGAUGAACCCGGAGCUUGCUCCGGUGGAUUAGUGGCGAACGGGUGAGUAACACGUGAGUAACCUGCCCUUGACUCUGGGAUAACUGCGGGAAACUGUAGCUAAUACCGGAUACGACCCUCGGCGGCAUCGCCAGGGGGUGGAAAGAAUUUCGGUCAAGGAUGGACUCGCGGCCUAUCAGCUAGUUGGUGAGGUAACGGCUCACCAAGGCGACGACGGGUAGCCGGCCUGGGAGGGGAACCGGCCAAACUGGGACUGAGACACGGCCCAGACUCCUACGGGAGGCAGCAGUGGGGAAUAUUGCACAAUGGGCGCAAGCCUGGUGCAGCAACGCCGCGUGAGGGAUGACGGCCUUCGGGUUGUAAACCUCUUUUAGUAGGGAAGAGGCGAAAGUGACGGUACCUGCAGAAAAAGCACCGGCUAACUACGUGCCAGCCGCCGCAGUAA
rnacentral:rRNA from 1 species